GUGGAUUAGAUACCCUGGUAGUCCACGCCCUAAACGAUGUCUACUAGUUGUCGGGUCUUAAUUGACUUGGUAACGCAGCUAACGCGUGAAGUAGACCGCCUGGGGAGUACGGUCGCAAGAUUAAAACUCAAAGGAAUUGACGGGGACCCGCACAAGCGGUGGAUGAUGUGGAUUAAUUCGAUGCAACGCGAAAAACCUUACCUACCCUUGACAUGGAAGGAAUCCUGGAGAGAUUUGGGAGUGCCCGAAAGGGAACCUUUACACAGGUGCUGCAUGGCCGUCGUCAACU
rnacentral:rRNA from 1 species